GAAUUCCGGGUGUAGCGGUGAAAUGCGUAGAGAUCUGGAGGAAUAUCGGUGGCGAAGGCGGCCCCCCUGGACAAAGANNGACGNUCAGAUGCGAAAGCGUGGGUAGCAAACAGGAUUAGAUACCCUGGUAGUCCACGCCGUAAACGAUGUCUACUUGAAGGUUGGGAUCUUGAAUUCUGGCCUUCGGAGCUAACGCGUUAAGUAGACCGCCUGGGGAGUACGGUCGCAAGAUUAAAACUCAAAUGAAUUGACGGGGGCCCGCACAAGCGGUGGAGCAUGUGGUUUAAUUCGAUGCAACGCGAAGAACCUUACCUACUCUUGACAUCCAGAGAAGCCAGCAGAGAUGCAGGUGUGCCUUCGGGAANUNUGAGACAGGUGCUGCAUGGCUGUCGUCAGCUCGUGUUGUGAAAUGUUGGGUUAAGUCCCGCAACGAGCGCAACCCUUAUCCUUGUCUGCCAGCACGUAAUGGUGGGAACUCCAGGGAGACUGCCGGUGAUAAACCGGAGGAAGGUGGGGACGACGUCAAGUCAUCAUGGCCCUUACGAGUAGGGCUACACACGUGCUACAAUGGUGCAUACAGAGGGAAGCAAGAGCGCGAGCUGGAGCGGAUCCCAAAAAGUGCAUCGUAGUCCGGAUUGGAGUCUGCAACUCGACUCCAUGAAGUCGGAAUCGCUAGUAAUCGUGGAUCAGAAUGCCACGGUGAAUACGUUCCCGGGCCUUGUACACACCGCCCGUCAUC
rnacentral:rRNA from 1 species